rnacentral:rRNA from 1 species
UACAUUUUAAUUUUUAACUCUAUUUGUUGUUAUAUUACUUUUUUUUUAUUCUUUUUUAUGUUUUUUUUUGUAAAAAGUUUUGAUUUUUUUGUAUUUUUUUGUAAUAUUUAAAAUUUGUUUUUUGAACUGGAUUAGUACCCAGGUAAUCAAAGUUUAUUAAUUCGGGAGUAAAGUUUUGUUUAAACCGAAAAAAUAUUGACUGACUUUAGAUUUUUCUUUGGAAUAUGUGUUUUUGGAGAGCCCUCUUUUUUGGUGAAUUUUAUUGGCACAUGUAUGAUUGUUUAGUUUUUA